rnacentral:rRNA from 1 species
CCCUUAGAUGUUCUGGGCCGCACGCGCGCUACACUGACGAUGUCAGAGAGCGUCUCCUUCACCGAGAGGUGUGGGUAAUCUUUUAAACAUCGUCGUGCUGGGGAUAGAUCAUUGCAAUUUUUGAUCUUAAACGAGGAAUUCCUAGUAAGCGCGAGUCAUCAGCUCGCGCUGAUUACGUCCCUGCCCUUUGUACACACCGCCCGUCGCUACUACCGAUUGAAUGGUUUAGUGAGGCCUUCUGACUGGCGCCGCUACUCUGGCAACAGAGCGGCGGAUGCCGGGAAGUUGGUCAAACUUGAUCAUUUAGAGGAAGUAAAAGUCGUAACA